CUAAACCUUUCUUUAUCUUUUCUGAAAAUUGUGACCAUCUUGAUAUAUAUGAUGUUUUACCUAUACCAGCCUUUAGGGAGUCUACUAUAGCUCCUCCUUCACCUUCCGCCACAGAAGUCUCACCCGAUCCUACUAUAGCUCCUCCUUCACAUUCCGCUACAUAAGUCUUACCCAUUCCAACCAUUGGAGAGUCUAGUGUAGCUCCUCCUAGACUCCCUGCCACAAAAACUCCACUCUUGACAUAUCAUCGUCGUGCUCGCCCAGCAUCCGGCCCGGUUGAUUCACGUCCUGCACCUGGUUCAAGGUUGGUCAAGAUGGUAAGGUUGAUCGUCUUAAGACUCGUCUUGUUGCCAAGGGAUAUACUCAGGUAUUUGGGCUUGAUUACAGUGAUACCUUCUCUCCCUUGGCUAAGAUAGCAUCAGUCCACCUUUUUUUAUCCAUGGCUGCUGUUCGCCAUUGACCUCUGUAUCAGCUGGAUAUUAAAAAUGCGUUUUUAGACGGUGACUGGUAAGAAUGGACCUUGGGCCUAACUCAACCCCAAGAGCUAGCUUAUGAGGUGAGGAUUGCCCAAGCCAUAUAAGGAGACCAAUGACCUCAAAUCCCUCAGAUGUGGGACAACUCAAUAUCCCCCCACACGCCCAGAUCUCUGGAGCGUGGACAACAUAAAUGAGGGCCCAACAUCGAUAACAAUAAUUGGGAUGUGCAUGGCUCUGAUACCAUGAAAAGAAUGGACCUUGGGCCUAACUCAACCCCAAAAGCUAGCUUAUGAGGUGAGAAUUGCCCAAGCCAUAUAAGGAGACAAGGAGACCAAGGACCUCAAAUCCGUCAGAUAUGGGACAACUCAACAGUGACCUUGAGGAUGAAAUUUAUAUGGAGCAACCACCUGGGUUUGUUGCUCAGAGGGAGUUUCAUGGCCUUGUAUGUCACUUGCGCCGGUCAGUUUAUGGUCUAAAGCAGUCUCCUCAGUUUAUCGCCUUCUG
rnacentral:lncRNA from 1 species